AGGAGCGUCGCAUGCGCGUUAGCGACACUGUGGAAGUCUGGACAGUUUAUGUGCGGUCCGGAGAGGGAAUGGCAGCUGUGGCCACUGCGUGGAGGUCUUCUCCGAGGCCCCAAGCUUCUGCAAGGGCGAGUCGGACUGAGGGACCGCUUGUCCAUCCCACACUUCUUAGAAGUCGCUGCACCGUGCCCUUUCUGCCCUCUGUUCCGUGCCAGGCUGCCCAUCGCCGUCACAGUGUCCUGCCCUCUCCUUCUUCACAGCUCUCCGCCCCACGCCUGCUCCCGUUUGUGACUCUCGGCACGCGCCCUCAGUUUUGUUUCUGUCCAUCAUGCCCCUCGAGGCACCCUGAGUGUGCCAGGUCUGUCUGUGGAGGGAUCCGACGCUGAUCCAACUCUUCAAGGGAGAGAGCCAUGGCCACCUCUGAACUGCCCACGGGACUGGGGGCAGGAAAGGACCCAGGUGGACCCAGCCCAAUCCCAUGAGCCCUUAAAAGCAGAGUAGUGUCUGCAGCCAGAGAGGAAGAGGAAGGCAGAGGAGAGACGGACAGAAGGGGGAAGCCUGAGCGAUUGCAAAUGUGAGAUGGAUCUGACACACCGUUGCUGGCUCUGAGAUGUGGGGUCUGUGUGUGAGGACCAGAGCGAGGCUCUAGGUGCUAACGGUGGCCCCGGCUGUCAAGCAGCAACAGGGAUCUGAUGAGCAGGCAAAAGCCAGUGCCUCCCAGAGCCUCUCGCUCAAAGCCCAGCUGACUGAUUGGCCCUGUUGAAACCAGAGCAGAGGACCAGCCGUGGCAGGCUGCACUUGUGACCUAGACACCUGUGAGAUACUACGUCUGUGCUGCUGUAAGUUGCAAAGUUUCUGAAAAUUUGUUACAGUGGCAAUACUGAGAGGACAGACUGGAGGUGACAGUCACUCCCUCAGAAGAUCGUGUCUGAAACAGAACCCUGAGCCUGGAGGGUUUGGCAAGAACUGGCAGUGCCAGGCGUCACCAUCAGAGCUGGGACGGGCAGCCUUCCUCCAUCAGCUGAAGCCUGGGGACAGAUUCCAAAAGGAAACAGUGCUGCUAGAUAUAGGAAAACACUUUAUUCCCAUAUGGUGCUGGGGGCAGGGGCUCCCCGGUCCCCUCCACUAUAGGUGCUGGGAGGGUCUGAGGAUGUACACGAAGUGGGCCCUGUGGUCGGGCAGCCUGGAGUGGGGGAAGCGCUGGACCCCAUCUUCCAGGGUGUCCUCAUGGGUCCCCUCGCGGAGUCCAUCCCGGAUGGCCUGUAGCCGGUGGCGCUUCUCGCUCAGCCAACGGCCGCCCUCCUGGGUGUCCUGGUGGGACCUGCGCUGGGGCAGCUUCAUGAUCCAGAAGGCCACCCGGUGGCGGCUCUUGCCUUGCAAGCUGUCCAUGGACCUCUGCAAAGGGGCCGGGGCCUCCUUCUCCUCCACCUCAGGAAACUGGGAAGAAGGAACACACAGACCCUCUCAUGCUCCGAACAGCGACCCCACAAUGCUCACUCCCCUUGGCAGGUUCAACCCACUUUGCAAAUGACAGGGGCACUUGGGGGUUCAAAGUUUACCCUGAGGUGCGCAAAGCAUUUGGGUUUGCCAGCGCUUAAGGAUGUAAAAAUACUUUGAGGUUUACAGAAUACUUUGGGACUGAAAACACAUUUCGGGGGCUUCACAUUUGGGGUAAUUCAAAGCGCCGCAGGGUUUAUAAUGCCCACUGUGAUUACAAAGCGCUUUCAGAUUAAAUGAACUCAGGAGGUUUUGGGGGCAUUUUGACAUAUACAAAGCACUCUGGGAGUAAAACCUCUUGGGUUUAACUAAAGAGUGCUGACCACAAAUGCCAAGUGUGAUACUUGACUGACUCCUGAAUCAAAAAAUAAAAUCAGCUCUAAAGGGCAGUUUGGGGACAAGUGAGGGAAAUUGCAACAUGAACGGAAACAUAUGUCACAGCCUUGCUACCCCAAGCGUGGGCUGUGGGUCAGGACCAGCAAGCAGCCUCAGCAUCACCCUGGAGCUUGUUAGACGUGCAAAUUAGUGGGCCCCACCCCACCCAGGCCUGAUUUUAACAAGUUCAAGUCUGAGAGCCCAGAAGGAGAAGAUAGUUUGAUAUAAGCAUUAAAUUGCUUGGGUGCGAAAAUGCUCCUGCGGUCCUGUGGGAGAACAUCUCACACUCAGGAGGGCUCUG